rnacentral:rRNA from 1 species
AACGAACGCUGGCGGCAUGCCUAGCACAUGCAAGUCGAACGAGACCUUCGGGUCUAGUGGCGCACGGGUGCGUAACGCGUGGGAACCUGCCCUUAGGUUCGGAAUAACUCCCCGAAAGGGGUGCUAAUACCGGAUAAUGUCUUCGGACCAAAGAUUUAUCGCCUUUGGAUGGGCCCGCGUUGGAUUAGCUAGUUGGUAGGGUAAAAGCCUAUCAAGGCGACGAUCCAUAGCUGGUCUGAGAGGAUGAUCAGCCACACUGGGACUGAGACACGGCCCAGACUCCUACGGGAGGCAGCAGUGGGGAAUAUUGGACAAUGGGCGAAAGCCUGAUCCAGCAAUGCCGCGUGAGUGAUGAAGGCCUUAGGGUUGUAAAGCUCUUUUACCCGGGAUGAUAAUGACAGUACCGGGAGAAUAAGCUCCGGCUAACUCCGUG